rnacentral:rRNA from 1 species
UUUAUGGAGAGUUUGAUCCUGGCUCAGGAUGAACGCUGGCGGCGUGCCUAAUACAUGCAAGUCGAGCGAACAGAUAAGGAGCUUACUCCUUUGACGUUAGCGGCGGACGGGU